UCUCUCUCUCUGUGAAAACAAAGAACUUGUUUCCAAACUCAAUUCUUCCAUUGCCAUUCAAUGCUUGAAUCUCAAUAAUUUGUAAUGAAUGUUAAAAUAUUGAGAGGAAAAUCAUCAUAACAAAAAAUAUAGACAUUAAGCUCUAAGAUUUUAUCCGCUAAUCCAAAGGUUGAUUUAAAUUAAUUUAUGAAACUAAAGCUUUAGAGAUCUGCUGCAUCACUACUCACCAAGCUUGAAGAAAACCGCAACUCAGCAAGACCAUAACGAUUCCUCGACCAAGUCCAAAAAUGGAUGGAUGAAGAUCUGGGUAUGGGAUCUGCUUUUGCAAGUCCAGGGAAUAAACAGGACCAAAGUCGACCGUCAGCUACGGAGCAAGAGCCUUUUGCAAUAGAACAUCAGACGAACUAUGGCGGCAGAGUAAGGAGAGGCUUGCCGGCGGAAACUGUUGAAGGAGAGAGAGAAAGGAGCGGAACUGUUGAAGGAGAGAGAAAAGAGCUUCAAAUUCAUUUAUUUUUUAUAUAUUUUAAUUUAAAUGACACGUGUCCUAUUUUUAUUUGUUGUGCCCAAUUUUGAUGUGUUGUAGUUGUGCCUAGAG
rnacentral:lncRNA from 1 species